rnacentral:rRNA from 1 species
UACGUAGGGUGCAAGCGUUAAUCGGAAUUACUGGGCGUAAAGCGUGCGCAGGCGGUUGUGCAAGACAGAUGUGAAAUCCCCGGGCUCAACCUGGGAAUUGCAUUUGUGACUGCACGGCUAGAGUGUGUCAGAGGGGGGUAGAAUUCCACGUGUAGCAGUGAAAUGCGUAGAGAUGUGGAGGAAUACCGAUGGCGAGGGCAGCCCCCUGGGAUAACACUGACGCUCAUGCACGAAAGCGUGGGGAGCAAACAGG